rnacentral:rRNA from 1 species
AGCGAACGCUGGCGGCAGGCCUAACACAUGCAAGUCGAACGAACUUUUCGGAGUUAGUGGCGGACGGGUGAGUAACACGUGGGAACGUGCCUUUAGGUUCGGAAUAACUCAGGGAAACUUGUGCUAAUACCGAAUGUGCCCUUCGGGGGAAAGAUUUAUCGCCUUUAGAGCGGCCCGCGUUGGAUUAGCUAGUUGGUGAGGUAAAGGCUCACCAAGGCGACGAUCAGUAGCUGGUCUGAGAGGAUGAUCAGCCACAUUGGGACUGAGACACGGCCCAAACUCCUACGGGAGGCAGCAGUGGGGAAUCUUGCGCAAUGGGCGAAAGCCUGACGCAGCCAUGCCGCGUGAAUGAUGAAGGUCUUAGGAUUGUAAAAUUCUUUCACCGGGGACGGUAAUGACGGUACCUGGAUAAGAAGCCCCGGCUAACUUCGUGCCAGCCGCCGCCGUAA